AGUGAACGCUGGCGGUACGCCUAACACAUGCAAGUCGAACGGCAGCACAGUAAGAGCUUGCUCUUACGGGUGGCGAGUGGCGGACGGGUGAGGAAUACAUCGGAAUCUACUUUUUCGUGGGGGAUAACGUAGGGAAACUUACGCUAAUACCGCAUACGACAUACGGGUGAAAGCAGGGGAUCUUCGGACCUUGCGCGAUUGAAUGAGCCGAUGUCGGAUUAGCUAGUUGGCGGGGUAAAGGCCCACCAAGGCGACGAUCCGUAGCUGGUCUGAGAGGAUGAUCAGCCACACUGGAACUGAGACACGGUCCAGACUCCUACGGGAGGCAGCAGUGGGGAAUAUUGGACAAUGGGCGCAAGCCUGAUCCAGCCAUACCGCGUGGGUGAAGAAGGCCUUCGGGUUGUAAAGCCCUUUUGUUUGGAAAGAAAAGCAGCAGGUUAAUACCCCGCUGUUCUGACGGUACCCAAAGAAUAAGCACCGGCUAACUUCGUG
rnacentral:rRNA from 1 species